UACGUAGGUGGCAAGCGUUGUUCGGAAUUAUUGGGCGUAAAGGGCGCGUAGGCGGUUUGUUAAGUCAGCUGUGAAAGCCCGGGGCUCAACCCCGGAGGGUCAGCUGAUACUGGCAGGCUAGAGUACAGAAGAGGUAACUGGAAUUCCCGGUGUAGCGGUGAAAUGCGUAGAUAUCAGGAGGAACACCAAUGGCGAAGGCAGCUCGCUGGGACGGUACUGACGCUGAGACGCGAAAGCGUGGGGAGCAAACAGG
rnacentral:rRNA from 1 species